rnacentral:rRNA from 1 species
AGAGUUUGAUCCUGGCUCAGAUUGAACGCUGGCGGCAGGCCUAACACAUGCAAGUCGAGCGGAUGAUGGGAGCUUGCUCCUGGAUUCAGCGGCGGACGGGUGAGUAAUGCCUAGGAAUCUGCCUGGUAGUGGGGGACAACGUUUCGAAAGGAACGCUAAUACCGCAUACGUCCUACGGGAGAAAGCAGGGGACCUUCGGGCCUUGCGCUAUCAGAUGAGCCUAGGUCGGAUUAGCUAGUUGGUGGGGUAAAGGCCUACCAAGGCGACGAUCCGUAACUGGUCUGAGAGGAUGAUCAGUCACACUGGAACUGAGACACGGUCCAGACUCCUACGGGAGGCAGCAGUGGGGAAUAUUGGACAAUGGGCGAAAGCCUGAUCCAGCCAUGCCGCGUGUGUGAAGAAGGUCUUCGGAUUGUAAAGCACUUUAAGUUGGGAGGAAGGGCAGUAAGUUAAUACCUUGCUGUUUUGACGUUACCAACAGAAUAAGCACCGGCUAACUUCGUGCCAGCAGCCGCGGUAAUACGAAGGGUGCAAGCGUUAAUCGGAAUUACUGGGCGUAAAGCGCGCGUAGGUGGUUUGGUAAGAUGGAUGUGAAAUCCCCGGGCUCAACCUGGGAACUGCAUCCAUAACUGCCUGACUAGAGUACGGUAGAGGGUGGUGGAAUUUCCUGUGUAGCGGUGAAAUGCGUAGAUAUAGGAAGGAACACCAGUGGCGAAGGCGACCACCUGGACUGAUACUGACACUGAGGUGCGAAAGCGUGGGGAGCAAACAGAAGUAGAUACCCUGGUAGUCCACGCCGUAAACG